rnacentral:miRNA from 1 species
AUGGUGGCCCUGAGUUGCAAAACACAACAACAAAUCAGAAAACAAAACACAAAAUAAGAAAACAACAACAUUAACCAUUGUAUUUUCUCUUUUUCUGUUGUGUUUUCUUAUGUGUCGUGUUUUCUUAUUUGCUGUUUUGUUUUGCACCUCUGGGCCACCGUA